CCUACGGGAGGCUGCAGUGAGGAAUAUUGGUCAAUGGGCGGGAGCCUGAACCAGCCAAGCCGCGUGAGGGAAGAAGGUACAGCGUAUCGUAAACCUCUUUUGUCAGGGAACAAAGGCGGGGACUAGUCCCCGGAUGAGGGUACCUGAAGAAAAAGCAUCGGCUAACUCCGUGCCAGCAGCCGCGGUAAUACGGAGGAUGCGAGCGUUAUCCGGAUUUAGUGGGUUUAAAGGGUGCGCAGGCGGCCUGUUAAGUCAGCGGUAAAAGCCCGGGGCUAAACCCCGGCGAGCCGUUGAAACUGGCGGGCUGUAGUUGGAGAGAAGUACGCGGAAUGCGCGGUGUAGCGGUGAAAUGCUUAGAUAUCGCGCAGAACCCCGAUUGCGAAGGCAGCGUACCGGCUCCACACUGACGCUGAGGCACGAAAGCGUGGGUAUCGAACAGGAUUAGAUACCCCAGUAGUC
rnacentral:rRNA from 1 species